rnacentral:rRNA from 1 species
AGUAUAUUGACUGUACAAAGGUAGCAUAGUCAUUAGUCUUUUAAUUGGAGACUUGUAUAAAUGAUUUGAUGAAAUAUAAACUGUCUCUUUAUUAAUAAUAGAAUUUAAUUUUUUAGUUAAAAAGCUAAAAUUUUUAUAAAAGACGAGAAGACCCUAUAGAGUUUAAUUUUUUAAUUUUUGUAAAUAUUAUAUAAAAAUUAUAAUUUAUAAAAAUUAAAAAUUUUGUUGGGGUGAUAGAAAAAUUUAAAAAACUUUUUUUAAAAAUUAAUAAUUUAUGAAUUUUUGAUCCAUAAUUUGAUUAAAAGAUUAAAUUACCUUAGGGAUAACAGCGUAAUAUUUUUUUUUUUAGUUCAAAUAAAAAAAAAAGUUUGCGACCCCCAUGUUGGAUUAAAAAAAAAUUUAAAUGCAAAAGUUUAAAAUUUUGAUCUGUUCGAUCAUUAAAAU